rnacentral:tRNA from 1 species
ACUUAGCUAGCUUAUGAAGAGCUUAGUGAUGAAGAUACUAGGGAGGAAAACUUUUCCGUUAAGUG